GCCGCAGUAGCUCAGCCUGACUUCUCAAAACCCUGGGGUUUUGCGAGGGGCCAGGGAGAGCGUUCGCCUGAAGAGCGAUAUGCCAAGAGUUCAAAUCUCUUCUGCGGCA
rnacentral:tRNA from 1 species